ensembl:lncRNA
AGUGUGCUCAUGGGAUGCUCCCAUCUGCCCUGGCUUCUGCAGAGCAGCUCUAGCUUAGGGACAUUUUCUACCAGUGCCACAUACUUUCCCUUCUGUAUAAAAUGGUCAGAGGGAUCAGCCCUUAGGACUCCCUAAUGCCUCAGUGAUAGAAACCCACCCUCCAAAAUUGCGCCCUCACCACUUUGAGAAUGUUGCGUUUAGAGAACAAUUGUCUUCACGUGUUCAACAUUGUCCUGUUAUUUAUGAGGUUUUCAACCACCUGGAAGCCAGGCAAAUACUGACCCAAGCUCGGAACUGUGCGCUGACCCAAGGACAAAAGGUCUCAUAUGGCUGAAAUCAAGACGUUGGAUGGCUGUGUCAUCUUCAGGAGGUUUGACUGGGGAAAGACCCACUUCCAAGCCCAUUUAGAUUGUCUUUUCUGGUUUCCGGUUGAUUGUCCACCGGGUUUGGGGAUUCAGCUUCUCCCCGAGAUAGCGUCGGGAUGUGAAAGCGCAGCCUGGGAUCCAGAGCACCCAGGCGUGGACGACACAUUCCAGGACAGGAAAUUCCUCCUCUCCCUGGAGAGAUCUGCUUACAUUCUAGAGGAAAGAAGAAUUGGGACAAUAACACAGAUCAGGAAAAGCGAAUAGACAAGGAGAAUCUUAAGAAAUGACUCCCUAGAUCCAGCCCACACUCCGAGGGAGGGGAUUAUACAAGGAAGUGAAUACCAGACAGUGUGGAUUAUUUGUGGCCAUCCCAGAGGACUGGGGACAAAGGUCAGUUUUGAGCAUGCAGAUGAGGGCAAUGCAGUAGGAUUGGGUGAAGAAACAGAUUGGAAGUAACUGGGUUUCUGAAUGACCACAUGGAGCCAAGUUGCCUGCCAACCUGCUCUGCUGACUCCAGACUGUGAUGUGAGAAAUAAGCCACUGAAUUAUUACUGGGUCCCUGUGACAGCAGCCUAGCUUUUACCCCUGCUAAUACACUUACCAAGUUAAGUAACCUCUUUGAGUGUCACUUUCGUUAUCUGUAAAGGGAGAAUAAUGUUGAUACAUCCCUUGGAAGGCUGUGGUGAUAAAUAUACAAGAUAAUCCAGACAAAGUGCUUGGUCCAGUGCCCUUCUCAUGGUAAUUUUUUAAAUAAGUGGUUUCUACUAGAAUUAAGAAUGAAGAUAAUUCCAUCUUUGGUUUGGAUGAUGCAUAUAGAGCUAGGAAAGCAGAUGGAGUUGGUGAACUGACAGAAAGACCUGAACUGAUUGAAACAGACUUGCCAUGAGUGGAACCCUAGUAUUCAUAUUUUUUAAAAGUUCCCCAGAUAGCUCUGGUGAGUACCUUGGUUUGGAUACACGUACUUUAUAUUGGCUAUGUAUGUCAUAUAGUAUUCCAUUAAUUAAAUGCCUUAAUGCUUUCCUUUGAGAGAAAGAUCAAUCUAGAAUUCCUGAUAUUCCCAUAAGUGCUAGAAAAGGGAAGUAUAAUAGGCCAAAUUACUCAUAUUCAAUGAAACACAUUUCUUGUUGACACUGAUGUCGAAAACAAACAAACAAAAAAACUGCAUGAGAGACUUCUAUUUGGGGCGGUAUUAUCAUCUACAUUCUCCAAAGAUUCUUCUUAUUAGAUCCUGCAAAAGACUUGAGUUUUCUGGCACUUCUGGGCUCAGGAGAUAAGGGAAAUCUUCAAGCCCAUAAAUCCAACCCAAGCAAACAAAGCUGUGAGCUGAAACUUGGGAGGUGGGUUGCGAGCAGACACGUUGAGUGAGGCUGCCUUACAUGCUAAAUCAGCACCGAGACAAGGAGACCGACUCCUGAGUCUGCUUACAGUUGAGGGGAUGAGCCUGAGGCUCCAGGUGAAGCUGGAGAUCCUGAAGGGAGCCAAAUCGGUCCCAGAUCAGUGGUGUCCUUGGGCUAUUGGCUGAAGCAAAUGUGAAUCAUCUCUGGAGGAGAGCAUGCCCCACAUAAGGGCCUAGGAGUUCAAGGGAUAAAGAUAAACCAAAUAUGAGCUGAUAAGUGAAGACCAACAAACACACAAGGGAACACGCCCUCACAAGUGAAGAAAGAAACCCAAAGGACAUCAGAUACUGCAGUUCUCAUUUUCCAAACAACAUAACUCUGUAGACAGUUUGUUUUUUAAAAAAACAGCCUUAUUGAGAUAUACUUCACAUACUGUACAAUUUACCCUUUUAACCCAUUUAAAGUGAGCAAGUCAAUGGUUUUUAGUAUAUUCACAGAUAUGUGCAAGCAUCACCAGAGUCAAUUUUAGAACAUUUUCAUCACCUCAAAAAAAAAAUUCCAUAUCCUUUAGCUGUCAUCACUGUCUCCUGUUUCCUGCCCCCCCCUAGUUUAGGCAACCACUGGUCUAGUUUCCAUCUCUAGAGACCUCCCUAUUCUGGACUUUCAUAUGAAUGAAAUCAUAGAGUAUGUGGUCUUUUGUGACUGGCUUCUUUCACUCAGCAUAAUGUUUUCAAGGUUCAUCUACAUUGUAGUAUAUAUCAGUAUGUCUUUCCUUUUUGUGGCUGAAUAAUAUUCUGUACAUUUCGUUGUAUGACUAUACCAGAUUUUGUUUAUCCAUUUAUCCAUUGAUAGACAUUUGAGUUGUUCCCACAUUUUGGUUAUUACAAAUAAUGCUGCUAUAAACAAUCAUGUACAAAUGUCUGUGUUUUCACUUUUGUUGGGUAUUUACUGAAGAAUGAAAUUGCUGGAUUAUAUGGUACCCAUGUGUUUAAUCAUUCGAGGAACUGCCGGGCUGUUUUCCAAAGUGGCUGCGCUAUUCUACAGCCUCAACAGCAGGAGGGCUCUGAUUCCUCCACGUCCUGGCCUUGUUAUCUGACAUUUUGAUUCCAGCCAUCCUGGUGGGUAUGCAGUGGUAACUCAUUGUGGUUUUGAUUUGCAUCUCCCUCAAGAUGGCAAGCAUCUCUUCGUGGGUUUGGAUGCCAUCUGCAUAUCUUCUUUGGAGGAGAAACUGACGUAAACAUGGAGUGAGCUGGUGCAUACUUAGAUCAGGAACUUCUCGGAGGAUCUUUCGUAAGACUGGGAGGAUGGGUGUUCCACUCCCUCCAAUUAUUUGAAGUUUUAGUCCUUCUGAGGCAUUUCAAUUAGUUAAAUCUGAUCUGUAAUUACCUCAGUUCUUCUUUGAGCAAAGGAGAACACUGAGGAGGCUGCCAAAUUGACUGUACAUCUGGGAGCUCUCCAUUGAGAAGUCCAGAGAGGCUCUGCUGUGGUCAACCUCACGCUUACCUUGAAAGGAUUUGCAGUUCCGAGCUCUUGGGAGGGUCCAGGUUCCUAUCUGCAUUAAGCUACAGAGAAGGGGAGAAACAUUUUCCUGUCCUCUGUGAAAGAAUUUUUAAAAAAUGUACUUGAAAGCUGCUAAUAGAGUGGAUCUUAAAUGUUCUCACCACUCAAAAUAGAUGGUAAUUAUACAACAUGAUGGAAAUGCUAGCUGACACUAUGGUGAUAAGCAUAUUGCAAUCUGUCAGUGUAUCAAAUCAAUACAUUGUACACCUUAAAGUUACACAAAAUUCUAUGUCAAUUAUACCUCAAUAAACUUGGGAGGAAAAGUAUGAAUAUUCCCCAAAUCGACAAACAGAGAUAAGAUUCAGAAUGUGCUUACUCAGAGCCGGCCCCAGGGCCGAGUGGUUAAGUUCGUGCACUCCACUUCGGACGGAGGCCCAGGGUUCGCCGGUUCGGAUCCUGGGUGCGGACAUGGCACCGCUCAUCAGGCCACAGUGAGGCGGCAUCCCACAUGCCACAACCAG